UGCAUGGGUGGGUCUGACUGAGAAAGAAGCGAAAGAGAAAGGCAUCAGCUAUGAAACCGCCACCUUCCCGUGGGCUGCUUCUGGUCGUGCUAUCGCUUCCGACUGCGCAGACGGUAUGACCAAGCUGAUUUUCGACAAAGAAUCUCACCGUGUGAUCGGUGGUGCGAUUGUCGGUACUAACGGCGGCGAGCUGCUGGGUGAAAUCGGCCUGGCAAUCGAAAUGGGUUGUGAUGCUGAAGACAUCGCACUGACCAUCCACGCGCACCCGACUCUGCACGAGUCUGUGGGCCUGGCGGCAGAAGUGUUCGAAGGUAGCAUUACCGACCUGCCGAACCCGAAAGCGAAGAAGAAGUAAUUUUUCGUUUGCCGGAACAUCCGGCAAUUAAAAAAGCGGCUAACCACGCCGCUUUUUUUACGUCUGCAAUUUACCUUUCCAGUCUUCUUGCUCCACGUUCAGAGAGACGUUCGCAUACUGCUGACCGUUGCUCGUUAUUCAGCCUGACAGUAUGGUUACUGUCGUUUAGACGUUGUGGGCGGCUCUCCUGAACUUUCUCCCGAAAAACCUGACGUUGUUCAGGUGAUGCCGAUUGAACACGCUGGCGGGCGUUAUCACGUUGCUGUUGAUUCAGUGGGCGCUGCUGUACUUUUUCCUUAAACACCUGGCGCUGCUCUGGUGAUGCGGACUGAAUACGCUCACGCGCUGCGUCUCUUCGCUGCUGGUUCUGCGGGUUAGUCUGCAUUUUCUCGCGAACCGCCUGGCGCUGCUCAGGCGAGGCGGACUGAAUGCGCUCACGCGCUGCCUCUCUUCGCUGCUGGAUCUUCGGGUUAGUCUGCAUUCUCUCGCGAACUGCCUGGCGCUGCUCAGGCGAGGCGGACUGAUAACGCUGACGAGCGGCGUCCUUUUGUUGCUGGGUCAGUGGUUGGCGACGGCUGAAGUCGUGGAAGUCGUCAUAGCUCCCAUAGUGUUCAGCUUCAUUAAACCGCUGUGCCGCUGCCUGACGUUGGGUAUCUCGUGUAAUGACUGGUGCGGCGUGUGUUCGUUGCUGAAACUGAUUUGCUGCCGCCUGACGCUGGCUGUCGCGCGUUGGGGCAGGUAAUUGCGUGGCGCUCAUUCCGCCGUUGACAUCGGUUUGAUGAAACCGCUUUGCCAUAUCCUGAUCAUGAUAGGGCACACCAUUACGGUAGUUUGGAUUGUGCCGCCAUGCCAUAUUCUUAUCAGUAAGAUGCUCACCGGUGAUACGGUUGAAAUUGUUGACGUCGAUAUUGAUGUUGUCGCCGUUGUGUUGCCAGCCAUUACCGUCACGAUGACCGCCAUCGUGGUGAUGAUAAUCAUCAUUGUCAUGAUGAUGAUGGUCAUGAUCGUCGUCGUCCCAGUCGAUGCUGCUGAAUAGUGCGUACGUGGUAGCAACGCCCAUGCUAUAGCCGAAUCCGCGUACAAAGCUGUCAACAAACGGUUCUCCGGCUGGUGGUGGCAGAUAAACCGGCGGAUACGCAGUAUUGGCCCAGUUCCCGUAAACCACGGUUGGGUUGUAGUUGGGAAUAUAGACCACAUCA
rnacentral:rRNA from 1 species